CAGUUUGGGGCAUUGGAUAGUAAUUUGGGCUUUGGGCCCGAAUAGAUGAAGCCUAGAAUGAACAAAAAGAAUCGAUUCCAACGUAUUCCUCAUGAGAACUGAAGCUUAAAAAUGGAGAAGCGCUUAUCUGGAAGACCUUCUGCAACGUGCGAUUGCAGCUCUUGGCUUCGGCAUCGGUUCCUCAUCAUCAUUGCAUCGUGUUCACAAGAUUGAUUCGAACAAGAAGAAAAGCUUGAAUAUAGAAAAAAUUCGUACGUGCUCUUCGACUUCACAUUCAAAGAUCUGAAGGUUCAAAGAAGACGGUUCGUGAUUUGCGUGGUUCCGUUCGUCAAUUCAUAGCUUCGAAGGUUCGAAGAUUCAAUUCAUUCUGCAAGCAGAAAAAAGCGGUAUCGAAGGCGAAUCAGAGGACUUACCGAAUUCAACAAGGAAAAUGUUGGCAUUAUCGUGACAGAUUGAAGGUGAAACCGACCCGGCACAGAGCAACCGUACGUUGGGCACCCAUAUAAGAUGCUUGGAUUGCUAUUGUGUAGGAAAUAUGCGCCGCCCUUGUAACUUGAAUUUGGGCAUUGUAUGUAUAGAAACAUUGGUUUGAAGAAUUAUGAAUGGAAAGGAAAUGGACAAUACAUAGACUUGAAUGGAAUAGAAAAUCAAUCAAAGCUCUUGAAUGUAUAGGGAUGAGCAUUUGAAUAUGAUUUGUAAAGUUUAUUGAAUCAUAAAUUGAAAACAUGAAUUGUUUGAAUGGUAUUGGAAGAUGAACUUGCAUGUAUAUGGUUGAAAUAAUUUAAUAUAUACUUGGGAUUGCAUGAUGGAUUUUAUAUAAA